GCCUGGGUAGCUCAGUCAGUGAAGCGUCUGACUUCAGCUCAGGUCAUGAUCUCAUGGUUUGUGGGUUUGAGCCCCACGUCAGGCU
rnacentral:tRNA from 1 species